rnacentral:rRNA from 1 species
GACGAACGCUGGCGGCGUGCCUAAUACAUGCAAGUAGAACGCUGAAGAGAGGAGCUUGCUCUUCUUGGAUGAGUUGCGAACGGGUGAGUAACGCGUAGGUAACCUGCCUUGUAGCGGGGGAUAACUAUUGGAAACGAUAGCUAAUACCGCAUAACAAUAGGUGACACAUGUCAUUUAUUUGAAAGGGGCAAUUGCUCCACUACAAGAUGGACCUGCGUUGUAUUAGCUAGUAGGUGAGGUAACGGCUCACCUAGGCGACGAUACAUAGCCGACCUGAGAGGGUGAUCGGCCCCACUGGGACUGAGACACGGCCCAGACUCCUACGGGAGGCAGCAGUAGGGAAUCUUCGGCAAUGGGGGCAACCCUGACCGAGCAACGCCGCGUGAGUGAAGAAGGUUUUCGGAUCGUAAAGCUCUGUUGUAAGUCAAGAACGAGUGUGAGAGUGGAAAGUUCACACUGUGACGGUAGCUUACCAGAAAGGGACGGCUAACUACGUG